rnacentral:rRNA from 1 species
UACGUAGGGCGCAAGCGUUAUCCGGAAUUAUUGGGCGUAAAGAGCUCGUAGGCGGUGUGUUACGUCGGCCGUGAAAACCUGCAGCUUAACUGUGGGCGUGCGGUCGAUACGGGCAUCACUGGAGUUCGGCAGGGGAGACUGGAAUUCCUGGUGUAGCGGUGAAAUGCGCAGAUAUCAGGAAGAACACCCGUGGCGAAGGCGGCUCUCUGGGACGGUACUGACGCUGAGACGCGAAAGCGUGGGGAGCGAACAGG